UCGUUAACGAACGAGACCUCGACCUGCUAAAUAGUUGAACGAACUCUUCGGGGUUUGUAUUGACUUCUUAGAGGGACUUUUUGUGAGUAGCUAAAGGAAGUUCGAGGCAAUAACAGGUCUGUGAUGCCCUUAGAUGUUCUGGGCCGCACGCGCGCUACACUGACCGGUUCAUCGAGUUUACAACCUUGGCUGAUAGGCCUGGGUAAUCUUCUCAAAGCCGGUCGUGCUGGGGAUAGAUCAUUGCAAUUAUUGAUCUUCAACGAGGAAUUCCUAGUAAACGCGAGUCAUCAACUCGCAUUGAUUACGUCCCUGCCCUUUGUACACACCGCCCGUCGCUAGUACCGAUUGAAUGGUUUC
rnacentral:rRNA from 1 species